rnacentral:rRNA from 1 species
GACCUACGGGGGGCAGCAGUGGGGAAUAUUGGGCAAUAGAGGCAACUCUUACCCAGCAAUGCCGCGUGAAUGAAGAAGGUCUUCGGAUUGUAAAGUUCUUUAAUUGGGGACGAAAAAAAUGACGGUACCCAAGGAAUAAGCCCCGGCUAACUCCGUGCCAGCAGCCGCGGUAAUACGGAGGAUGCGAGCGUUAUCCGGAUUUAUUGGGUUUAAAGGGUGCGUAGGCGGUUUUUUAAGUUAGUGGUUAAACGUCGGGGCUUCACCUUGAUUUGCCAUUAAUACUGUAAGACUCGAGUUCAGACGAG